rnacentral:rRNA from 1 species
GACGAACGCUGGCGGCGUGCUUCACACAUGCAAGUCGAACGAAGUGGCGCACGGGUGAGUAACGCGGAAUCAACCUGCCCUUCAGAGGGGGACAACAGCUGGAAACGACUGCUAAUACCGCAUACUGAAGGAGGGGUUUGCGUCUGAUUAGCUAGUUGGAGGGGUAACGGCCCACGAAGGCGAUGCUCGGUAGCCGGUCGGAGAGGAUGACCGGCCACAUUGGGACUGAGACACGGCCCCGACUCCGACGGGAGGCAGCAGUGGGGAAUCUUCCGAAAUGGACGAAAGUCUGACGGAGCAACGCCGCGUGAGGGAUGACGGCCUUCGGGUUGUAAAGCUCUGUUAAUCGGGACGCGGUACCGGAAUAGAAAGCCACGGCUAACUACGUGCCAGCGGCCGCGGUAAUAC